rnacentral:rRNA from 1 species
AAGCACCGGCUAACUACGUGCCAGCAGCCGCGGUAAUACGUAGGGUGCGAGCGUUAAUCGGAAUUACUGGGCGUAAAGCGGGCGCAGACGGUUACUUAAGCAGGAUGUGAAAUCCCCGGGCUCAACCUGGGAACUGCGUUCUGAACUGGGUAGCUAGAGUAUGUCAGAGGGGGGUAGAAUUCCACGUGUAGCAGUGAAAUGCGUAGAGAUGUGGAGGAAUACCGAUGGCGAAGGCAGCCCCCUGGGAUAACACUGACGUUCAUGCUCGAAAGCGUGGGUAGCAAACAGGAUUAGAUACCCUGGUAGUCCACGCCCUAAACGAUGUCGAUUAGCUGUUGGGCAGCUUGACUGCUUAGUAGCGUAGCUAACGCGUGAAAUCGACCGCCUGGGGAGUACGGUCGCAAGAUUAAAACUCAAAGGAAUUGACGGGGACCCGCACAAGCGGUGGAUGAUGUGGAUUAAUUCGAUGCAACGCGAAGAACCUUACCUGGUCUUGACAUGUACGGAACCUUCCAGAGACGGAAGGGUGCCUUCGGGAGCCGUAACACAGGUGCUGCAUGGCUGUCGUCAGCUCGUGUCGUGAGAUGUUGGGUUAAGUCCCGCAACGAGCGCAACCCUUGUCAUUAGUUGCCAUCAUUUAGUUGGGCACUCUAAUGAGACUGCCGGUGACAAACCGGAGGAAGGUGGGGAUGACGUCAAGUCCUCAUGGCCCUUAUGACCAGGGCUUCACACGUCAUACAAUGGUCGGUACAGAGGGUAGCCAAGCCGCGAGGUGGAGCCAAUCUCAGAAAACCGAUCGUAGUCCGGAUUGCACUCUGCAACUCGAGUGCAUGAAGUCGGAAUCGCUAGUAAUCGCAGGUCAGCAUACUGCGGUGAAUACGUUCCCGGGUCUUGUACACACCGCCCGUCACACCAUGGGAGUGGGGGAUACCAGAAGUAGGUAGGGUAACCGCAAGGAGCCCGCUUACCACGGUAUGCUUCAUGACUGGGGUGAAGUCGUAACAAGGUAGCCGUAGGGGAACCUGCGGCUG